rnacentral:tRNA from 1 species
GGCCCCAUCGUCUAACGGUUAGGACGCAUGAUUCUCAAUCAUGCAAUCAGGGUUCAAUUCCCUGUGGGGUCA